rnacentral:rRNA from 1 species
AUUGAACGCUGGCGGCAGGCCUCACACAUGCAAGUCGAGCGAGCGGCGGACGGGUGAGUAAUGUCUGGGAAACUGCCUGAUGGAGGGGGAUAACUACUGGAAACGGUAGAUAAUACCGCAUACCAUCAGAUGUGCCAAGAUGGGAUUAGCUGGUAGGUGGGGUAACGGCUCACCUAGGCGACGAUCCCUAGCUGGUAUGAGAGGAUGACCAGCCACACUGGAAAUGAGACACGGGCCAGACUCCUACGUGAGUCAGCAGGGGGGAAUAUUGCACCAUGGGCGCAAGCCUGAUGCAGCCAUGCCGCGUGUGUGAUGAAGGCCUUCGGGUUGUAAAGCACUUUCAGCGGGGAGGCGUUACCCGCAGAAGAAGCACCGGCUAACUCCGUGCCAGCAGCCGCGGUAAUAC